GAUGAACGCUAGCGGCAGGCCUAAUACAUGCAAGUCGGACGGGAUUCAGGAGCUUGCUUCUGAUGAGAGUGGCGCACGGGUGCGUAACACGUAUGUAACCUACCUUUAUCAGGGGGAUAGCCUCUCGAAAGAGAGAUUAAGCCCGCAUAAAAUCACAGCACAGCAUUGUGUAAUGAUCAAAUAUUUAUAGGAUAAAGAUGGGCAUGCGGAACAUUAGCUAGAUGGCGGGGUAACGGCCCACCAUGGCGACGAUGUUUAGGGGAUCUGAGAGGUUGGCCCCCCACACUGGUACUGAGACACGGACCAGACUCCUACGGGAGGCAGCAGUAGGGAAUAUUGGUCAAUGGGCGGAAGCCUGAACCAGCCAUGCCGCGUGCAGGAAGACGGCCAUACGGGUUGUAAACUGCUUUUAGACGGGAAUAAACCCAGAUACGUGUAUCUGGCUGAAUGUACUGUAAGAAUAAGGAUCGGCUAACUCCGUG
rnacentral:rRNA from 1 species